GCAGAUGACACAGAACAGGACUAAGAAAAUGUAGAAAGCCUUUACUUGACGAGGAAAGCUGAGAUGGUCCUUCAAGUUGUAAGCUUGAAGAAGAUACCCAAAGUGGUAUUAUUAAUGCAUCUUGAAAACUCACAUCAUCUGACUCAUCCUAAUUUUCAUACUGGAUCUCCUAUGAAGAGACAUGUGACCAAAAAACCUGUAAAUAGAGUUACAACGUGAGACUUUGAAAAUGAAAUAAUGUCAUCUAAUUAUAGAUAGAAAACUGUGUGAGUGAUGAAAAUGAGUCUCAUGGGAACAACUGUUUCAAGAACACAUCAUCUGUGAAAUUUCCUUGGGGCCUAAACCACCCUCAUUAAUUUUAGAGUUAAGUACUCGAAAUAGCACUGUUUGUCUAUGUUGAGAUUCAUAUGAACUUGUCACAUGGAAAUAAAAAAAGAUAGAGAUAAGUUUUGUUGGGUAACCCCCAUUGUCCUAAUUAUUCCCUAAGAAACAUGUUUUCAGAUGGCUAUGGGAGCAAAUCAACAUACGCAGAAAUGGUUAAAUUCUGACUUGGAAUUCCAUGGGAAUUAGCAGGCUGUAGACGAGGUUCUGGCCGAGAAUGUCAUGGUUGGACCAAGACUUCCCAUGGGGCUGCUGUUUGUGGCCAGUUUCUUGUUUUUAUUUAUCCAAUGUGUACAUAUGCCCAGAAGCUAUUUGUAAUGGGAGUGUUUUAAGAAAUUCAUAAAUUUAAAACACUCCACACAUACAAAACUCUUUCUGAAAUGUGACAUCUUAAAAUUAUUUUCUCAAAGUGACAUAAAAUAAAACAGCGUAACAGCCAUCUCUUUGUAAUAUGCUCUCUUAUAUUUAAUUUUUAUUAAUCUUCACCUAAAUACUAGAUAACAUCAUGAAGAGAGCAAAAUAAACUGGCCAUCUCAGUUUAAAUGGCCAACAGUCAUCUUUUGAUGUUUAUUUCUUUGAAACAAAAUGCACCCUACAUUUUAUUUUGGAGCAAACAGUCAUCAGAAGUAAUGUGAAUUUGUAUGUUUUGACAAAAAGUUUUACAUAUAUGAUUUAAAAGGUGUUUAUGUAAUAUGAAUUAACUUGUGUACAAAAGAGAUACAGAUUUUUCAAAGAGCAAGCAUCUGAAUGUUAAGAACUGAGUUCAUUGAGGUUAAAUUGUUCUCAGGAAGUUUAAGGUAAAAAAGAAAGAAAAAGAUUGUACUUCUCCUAUGGCAGGAAGAGGCUCAUUUCCAGGGUAGAGACUUCUGAAAUCCAUAAAAUACAUUCCAGAUCCAAGACUUCAUGCAUCAUACCUGGACACUGCUGUCAUAGAGAGAGACUUGUGAGUGGUUUCCUUUCAUUUACUGAAUAGAGAUAAAAAUGCCCAAAGCAUAUGUGAGGGACAAAUUUUAAAAAUUAAUUUAAAAAUUCUGUUCUGUUUAACACUAAUAAUCUCUAAUGUAUCCAACUUUUCAAUUAUUGAAAAUCCAAAAGUCAAAUGUGGAGCAAACCUUGAAACAUAGAGCAGUAAUGAAUAUCUGCUGCCAAUAGCAAAAUAUUCACCAAAAUUCAAGCAGAAGGUGAAUGUGACUGAAUGAGAGGUCCUUAAGCUUUUUCAUGCCAUGGACCCUUUGGUAGUCUGGCUAACGUUUCUAAUAAAACAAAACACAGGCUUAUAAAGAAAAUCAAUCAUAUGGAAAUGAAUGUUGAUCACAAUAUUUAAAGAAAUACCAAGUUUGUGAUGUAGUAAUAUUUGUGUCUUUAUUAAUGCUAUAAAAGGCAAGAAUGAACAGGAGGCUUGAUAUUGACUCCUUUUUGAAGUAGGAUGAGCAUAAAUGAUACAUUGAAAUAUCUGCAAAGUUAUAAUGUGAUAUGAAAGUGUCUGUAAUUUUUAUUCCUGGCAAUGUGAUAGAAACUGCUAGUAAUACUGUGGUUUGUUGAAAGAAAUGCUACAUUUCAGAUAAGAUUAGUGAAAUUGAAGAUAUAAUUUUUUUCUAUUCAACUUCAUGGAAUCUGAAGAACGUAGGUUAGAAAGCCCUGAUGUAAAUGUACAAUGCAAGGUCAUGGCCAUAAAUGUAUAGUUUCACAUAUUUGCCUUUGGUCAAGAUUUUGUCUAAUAUCUUGGUUAUUUUAGCCAGUGAGUAGUAUUUACCACAUGGGUUUUCACUACAAAGAGGUUAAAAAUAAAACAGCA
rnacentral:lncRNA from 10 species